AUUGAACGCUGGCGGCAGGCCUAACACAUGCAAGUCGAGCGGAUGAAGGGAGCUUGCUCCUGGAUUCAGCGGCGGACGGGUGAGUAAUGCCUAGGAAUCUGCCUGGUAGUGGGGGAUAACGUCCGGAAACGGGCGCUAAUACCGUAUACGUCCUGAGGGAGAAAGUGGGGGAUCUUCGGACCUCACGCUAUCAGAUGAGCCUAGGUCGGAUUAGCUAGUUGGUGGGGUAAAGGCCUACCAAGGCGACGAUCCGUAACUGGUCUGAGAGGAUGAUCAGUCACACUGGAACUGAGACACGGUCCAGACUCCUACGGGAGGCAGCAGUGGGGAAUAUUGGACAAUGGGCGAAAGCCUGAUCCAGCCAUGCCGCGUGUGUGAAGAAAGUCUUCGGAUUGUAAAGCACUUUAAGUUGGGAGGAAGGGCAGUAAGUUAAUACCUUGCUGUUUUGACGUUACCAACAGAAUAAGCACCGGCUAACUUCGUG
rnacentral:rRNA from 1 species